rnacentral:lncRNA from 1 species
GUCAAACUCGACAAGACAUCGCAUCUCGUGCCUACGUAUCUCACCUGAACAUGAGAAUCAGAGUUGCCGUAGUUCGGCUAAACUAUUCCUGUUGGUUUGUGUUUUUUAAGUGGAUAACGUCACUACGCAAUCUACCGGAUGCUCGACCUUUGGAGACUUACUCAUCUGUAGUAGAAGGAGUUGACGUAUCCUUAAGAGGGGAUAAUGUUUGUUUGUGUU